CCACCGCAGAGGCUGAGUCGGUGGCGCAGGCAAGGGCCGCGGGGGCUCCUCGAGCCAACCUCUCCUCUCAUCUAACCGCAGGUAUUUCCUAAUCUUUUGGAGUUCUUCUUUCUAGAUGUGUUUUCCCUUGUUGAGAGGAGCAAUUUCUCCACCUGCUACUUCUUUCUGUGUUUAUCAGACUUAUGAAAGAUGCAUGCUUCACUAUUCUUGCUAUUCAGUAAUUGUUCAAAUUUUGAUAUAGACCUAAUUGCUGAAAGCCUGAAACCAAUCAACCAUCUGAAUCUGUACCCCGAUCAGGCUAUUAAUUCCAUAUGCAUGCGUGGGUUGCUCAAUGCGUGGCUAGCAGUUCAGUUUGUUCCCUUUUGUUAUAGAAUUGCCCUGCUGCUACAGUUCAAUAAAUAUAAGAGGUAACUAAUGGGUAUUUUCUUUACUUGCCAGCCGAAUGAUUCAUAUAGUGUCCAUGAGACCAUGACUGAUUAUUUAUAAGAUAUGCCAUUAUAAAUCCAACGUACGGCCAGACGCCCCUGCCACUCCAGCCCACGUACGGGCAGGCGCCUCCCCCGCCGCAGCCCGGGUAUUACGGGGCGCCACCUGCGCCGCUCCCCCCGCGUUGUGUAUAUAACAACAGGAGCAACAAGCACAUGAGUAAACGUGUAUCCCUGAACACAUGAUGAAGUAUUUGAUGGAACAGGCUAUAAGAAAACCAUGGGAUGAAGAACCAACUGUAAUGACUGAAGUAAUGAAAACCAUAUCUUUGGAGGUUGUGCGGGAGAAGAUGCUGCAUCACAUCCACCAAGAAAUUCACUAUGUAAUUGAGCAUCGUUUGAUGGACUGGAAGGAUCUAAAAGAUGGUUCUCUUAGGGUGGAGCAGCACUCUAUGACACCAAAACAAAGCCAACGUCAGAUUCUUGUUGGGAAAAAUGGCUCGAAGAUUGACUAAGUCAUUCAGCCAUUCUCACAUGGAAAACUAGCUCCUAUAGUCCUAUGCUAGAAUGGCUGAUAGUGUAUUUGGUGAGAAGAGCUUUGUCAAUUAACAUGUCCAAUAAGAUGUAUUAUUUGAAUGAUUUGUGCGUAUUAUCGAUACUACUGUGUUCGCACCAUUGAAUUCGGACAAAUAUUUCAAGAGAAUUGGUAUUGAAGCCAAUGAAGAAUUGAGAUCCAUAUUCAAGAGAAA